UACAUACUCCCUCCGUUCCGAAUUACUUGUCUUAGAUUUGUCUAGAUACGGAGAUAUCUAGCACUAGAAUGAGUCUAGAUACAUCCGUAUCUAGACAAAUCCAAAACAAGUAAUUCGGAACGGAGGGAGUAUCUG
rfam:Triticum aestivum genome assembly, contig: Triticum_aestivum_CS42_TGACv1_scaffold_393141_5AS